UUGAUAUCUGGGAAUAGAUUAGAUUAUUGAUCUCUUCAUGGUGCCCGCAGCCCAGUCUAACUUUAAGGAUUGGCCAGCGACAGUUAAAAGUCGAAAAGUAAGUUUUGGCUUAACCUCAGGCUCUCGUUUGAAGUCAAUCCAUAUCAAUGUACAUCUCUCAUCACAUUGACAAUAUAUGGCUCUGGUUUAACGGCAUUGAGGGUAUGUGGAUAGCUAGACUAGUGUUAAUUUUCCUUUUAUCAUAGUAC